rnacentral:lncRNA from 1 species
GACAGAAGCUUGUUUAUGAUCAUAAGAUAGUAUCCAGAAGUAAAUUUUGUAAAAAGAUAACUCCAUUUUUUUACUGUAUUUUACUUUUAAAUGGACUUAGAUUUUCUUCCGGUUAACAUUACAUACAGUCUGCAGUUAAAGUUUUCAAAACAUUUAUUAGAUUCAUUAACUAUCCUAAAUUUUUACCAAACUUGGACAGAAGCUUCUUACAAUCAUAAUAUAGUAUCAAGAGGAAUAUUUUUAUUGAUUUUUUUCCUCAUUUUUGUUGAGCCUGCGAUUUACAGCAAAAGUAGGCGAGACACUGGGUUCCGCGGAACCCUUACAAAUUUUUUAAAGUACGAAA